UACCUGGUUGAUUCUGCCAGUAGUCAUAUGCUUGUCUCAAAGAUUAAGCCAUGCAUGUCUAAGUAUAAGCAAUUAUACAGCGAAACUGCGAAUGGCUCAUUAUAUAAGUUAUCGUUUAUUUGAUAGUACCUUACUACUUGGAUAACCGUGGUAAUUCUAGAGCUAAUACAUGCUGAAAAUCCCGACUCCGGAAGGGAUGUAUUUAUUAGAUUCAAAGCCAAUGCCCUCCGGGCUCACUGGUGAUUCAUGAUAACUCCUCGAAUCGCACGGCCUUGCGCCGGCGAUGGUUCAUUCAAAUUUCUUCCCUAUCAACUUUCGAUGUUUGGGUAGUGGCCAAACAUGGUUGCAACGGGUAACGGAGGGUUAGGGCUCGACCCCGGAGAAGGAGCCUGAGAAACGGCUACUACAUCCAAGGAAGGCAGCAGGCGCGCAAAUU
rnacentral:ncRNA from 1 species